rnacentral:rRNA from 1 species
GAUGAACGCUGGCGGCGUGCCUAAUACAUGCAAGUCGAGCGAAUGGAUUAAGAGCUUGCUCUUAUGAAGUUAGCGGCGGACGGGAGAGUAACACGUGGGUAACCUGCCCAUAAGACUGGGAUAACUCCGGGAAACCGGGGCUAAUACCGGAUAACACUUUGAACCGCAUGGUUCGAAAUUGAAAGGCGGCUUCGGCUGUCAUUUAUGGAUGGACCCGCGUCGCAUUAGCUAGUUGGUGAGGUAACGGCUCAACAAGGCAACGAUGCGUAGCCGACCUGAGAGGGUGAUCGGCCACACAGGGACUGAGACACGGCCCAGACUCCUACGGGAGGCAGCAGUAGGGAAUCUUCCGCAAUGGACGAAAGUCUGACGGAGCAACGCCGCGUGAGUGAUGAAGGCUUUCGGGUCGUAAAACUCUGUUGUUAGGGAAGAACAAGUGCUAGUUGAAUAAGCUGGCACCUUGACGGUACCUAACCAGAAAGCCACGGCUAACUACGUGCCAGCAGCCGCAGUAA